CCCUCUGGACUGAGAUACCCUCGGGAAACUGAGGUCAAUCUCGGAUACUGCUUCCGUGUUGGAACACAGGAAGCUGGAAACGGUCCGCCGCCGGAGGACGUGACUGCGGCUGAUUAGGUAGACGGUGGGGUAACGGCCCACCGUGCCGAUAAUCAGUACGGGUUGUGAGAGCAAGAGCCCGGAGACGGAAUCUGAGACAAGAUUCCGGGCCCUACGGGGCGCAGCAGCCGCGAAACCUUUACACUGCACGCCAGUGCGAUAAGGGGAUCCCGAGUGCGAGGGCAUACAGUCCUCGCUUUUCGCGACCGUAAGGUGGUCGCAGAAUAAGGGCUGGGCAAGACCGGUGCCAGCCGCCGCGGUAAUACCGGCAGCCCGAGUGAUAGCCAAUUUUAUUGGGCCUAAAGCGUCCGUAGCUGGCCGAACAGGUCCGUCGGGAAAUCCACCCGCUUAACGGGUGGGCGUCCGGCGGAAACCAGUCGGCUUGGGGCCGAGAGACCAAAGGGGUACGUCCGGGGUAGGAGUGAAAUCCCGUAAUCCUGGACGGACCACCGGUUGCGAAAGCGCCUUUGGAGAACGGACCCGACAGUGAGGGACGAAAGACUAGGGUCUCGAACCGGAUUAGAUACCCGGUAGUCCUAGCCGUAAACGAUGCUCGCUAGGUGUGACGCAGGCUACCGAGCCUGCGUUGCGCCGUAGGGAACCGAGAAGCGAGCCGCCUGGGAAGUACGUCCGCAAGGAUGAAACUUAAAGGAAUUGGCGGGGGAGCACUACAACCGGAGGAGCCUGCGGUUUAAUUGGACUCAACGCCGGACAUCUCACCGGCACCGACAACGUGCAGUGACGGUCAGUUUGAUGAGCUUACCUGAGCCGUUGAGAGGAGGUGCAUGGCCGCCGUCAGCUCGUACCGUGA
rnacentral:rRNA from 2 species